GACGAACGCUGGCGGCGUGCCUAACACAUGCAAGUCGAGCGGAGAUGCUGAAGGUUUACUGGAAGCAUCUUAGCGGCGGACGGGUGAGUAACGCGUGGGCAACCUGCCCUACAGAGGGGGAUAACAGUGCGAAAGCACUGCUAAUACCGCAUGAUAUUGUCGGAUCGCAUGGUUUGACAAUCAAAGGAGAAAUCCGCUGUAGGAUGGGCCCGCGUCUGAUUAGCUAGUUGGUGAGGUAAGAGCUCACCAAGGCGACGAUCAGUAGCCGAUCUGAGAGGAUGAACGGCCACACUGGAACUGAGACACGGUCCAGACACCUACGGGUGGCUG
rnacentral:rRNA from 1 species